CGGGUGAGUAACACGUGGGAACGUGCCUUUAGGUUCGGAAUAGCUCCUGGAAACGGGUGGUAAUGCCGAAUGUGCCCUUCGGGGGAAAGAUUUAUCGCCUUUAGAGCGGCCCGCGUCUGAUUAGCUAGUUGGUGAGGUAACGGCUCACCAAGGCGACGAUCAGUAGCUGGUCUGAGAGGAUGACCAGCCACACUGGGACUGAGACACGGCCCAGACUCCUACGGGAGGCAGCAGUGGGGAAUCUUGCGCAAUGGGCGAAAGCCUGACGCAGCCAUGCCGCGUGAAUGAUGAAGGUCUUAGGAUUGUAAAAUUCUUUCACCGGGGACGAUAAUGACGGUACCCGGAGAAGAAGCCCCGGCUAACUUCGUGCCAGCAGCCGCGGUAAUACGAAGGGGGCUAGCGUUGCUCGGAAUUACUGGGCGUAAAGGGCGCGUAGGCGGAUCGUUAAGUCAGAGGUGAAAUCCCAGGGCUCAACCCUGGAACUGCCUUUGAUACUGGCGAUCUUGAGUAUGAGAGAGGUAUGUGGAACUCCGAGUGUAGAGGUGAAGUUCGUAGAUAUUCGGAAGAACACCAGUGGCGAAGGCGACAUACUGGCUCAUUACUGACGCUGAGGCGCGAAAGCGUGGGGAGCAACAGGAUUGGAUACCCUGGUAGUCCACGCCGUAAACGAUGAUUGCUAGUUGUCGGGCUGCAUGCAGUUCGGUGACGCACCUA
rnacentral:rRNA from 1 species